rnacentral:rRNA from 1 species
UAUGAACGCUGGCGGCGUGCUUAACACAUGCAAGUCGAACGGGAAACCUUUUAUUGAAGCUUCGGCAGAUUUAGAUUGUUUCUAGUGGCGGACGGGUGAGUAACGCGUGGGUAACCUGCCUUAUACAGGGGGAUAACAGUCAGAAAUGACUGCUAAUACCGCAUAAGCGCACAGGACCGCAUGGUCUGGUGUGAAAAACUCCGGUGGUAUAAGAUGGACCCGCGUCUGAUUAGCUGGUUGGUGGGGUAACGGCCCACCAAGGCGACGAUCAGUAGCCGGCCUGAGAGGGUGAACGGCCACAUCGGGACUGACGACACGGGCCCAGG